UCUCUAUAGUUUGCCUCCUUUUUGGGACG
rnacentral:piRNA from 1 species